GUUAUUUACCCACUGCUUUGUGGUAAACACAAGGCCCAUAGUCUCCAAGAGGUUAUUUCUGGGCGCCAAUGACUUAGCACAUAGGCCAGCAAAAAGCAUGGACUUUAUUUUCCUCCCCAGGUGUUCAUCUGAAUAGUAAAUGAGAAGAUGACUGUAAAGAGCACUUCAUUAGAGAGUACAUCAUGAGAAACACUGGACUGGAAGAAAUACAAGCUGGAAUCAAGAUUGCCGGGAGAAAUAUCAAUCACCUCAGAUAUGCAGAUGACAUCACCCUUAUGGCAGAAAGUGAAGAGGAAUUCAAAAGCCACUCGAUGAAAGUGAA
ensembl:lncRNA